AACGCUAGCUACAGGCUUAACACAUGCAAGUCGAGGGGCAGCAUUUCAGUUUGCUUGCAAACUGGAGAUGGCGACCGGCGCACGGGUGAGUAACACGUAUCCAACCUGCCGAUAACUCGGGGAUAGCCUUUCGAAAGAAAGAUUAAUACCCGAUAGUAUAAUGAAACCGCAUGGUCUUAUUAUUAAAGAAUUUCGGUUAUCGAUGGGGAUGCGUUCCAUUAGGCAGUUGGUGAGGUAACGGCUCACCAAACCUUCGAUGGAUAGGGGUUCUGAGAGGAAGGUCCCCCACAUUGGAACUGAGACACGGUCCAAACUCCUACGGGAGGCAGCAGUGAGGAAUAUUGGUCAAUGGGCGAGAGCCUGAACCAGCCAAGUAGCGUGAAGGAUGACUGCCCUAUGGGUUGUAAACUUCUUUUAUAAAGGAAUGAAGUCGGGUAUGCAUACCCGUUUGCAUGUACUUUAUGAAUAAGGAUCGGCUAACUCCGUGCCAGCAGCCGCGGUAAUACGGAGGAUCCGAGCGUUAUCCGGAUUUAUUGGGUUUAAAGGGAGCGUAGGCGGACGCUUAAGUCAGUUGUGAAAGUUUGCGGCUCAACCGUAAAAUUGCAGUUGAUACUGGGUGUCUUGAGUACAGUAGAGGCAGGCGGAAUUCGUGGUGUAGCGGUGAAAUGCUUAGAUAUCACGAAGAACUCCGAUUG
rnacentral:rRNA from 1 species